CCCCGCGCCCCCUAUAUAACUUUUGGCCAUUUGUGGACCAGACUCCUCAUUCAAUGGGUAUUUUUUAUUCCCUGUGCUCCAUCCAGUAAGUGUUCUUUUCCAACUUCAUUGACUGGAAAGUAGCACAGCGGCUGAGGAAUGAGGAAUCUUUUACAUCUCAUCCAUUUCUUUCUUUGGCGAAAUGCAAGACAGCAAAUGAAGAUGAGGAGAUUUCUGUAUCUGCCCACAUACCCUGAACCCGGUCAUUUGGCCGAUGUUCGGAUAACCUCACACAGCCGGUUUGACAAAUCAAUAGUAACAACUUGUGAAGGUAGUCCAACAGUUUCAUUCGGUCGUCAUUGGAAACUGGGUUCUCGGUUUAAUUUCUCAAGUUAUACAUUAUGCAAGGUAGAUACACAUGACCCCCUCUAUUCUUUGUAUUAAAGGCAUGGCUAGUGGUAAAAAUAGCAUCUGUUAAAUUAUAUUUAUGAUAUUUUAAUAAGAUAUUAUGUCAUAUAUUGAAAUAUGAUGCUAUAUUUACGAUAUUAGUUCUAUAUUAUGUUACAUGGUAUUAGAAAUAUGCAAUACGAUGCUAUUUUAAAAUAUUACUUCUACGAUAUUAAGUUAAAUUAUAUUAGAAAUAUAGAAUACGAUGCUAUUUUAUUUUAGUUCUACGGUAUUAAGUUAAAUUAUAUUAGAAAUAUGGAAUACGAGGCUAUUUUAUUUUAGUUCUACGAUAUUAAGUUAAAUUAUAUUAUAAAUAAGGAAUACGAUGCUAUUUUAUGAUAUUCGUUCUACGAUAUAAUGUUCUAAGUAAGUAUAAAGCCAUGUCUCCUAUAUUGGUUCUACUAUAUUAUGUUAUAUCAGUGUUUCCCCUAUGUUCCCAACUAUGGGGGGGCGGACGUAUCGGAGGGGGGCGUGGGUGUUGGGGCGCGCCGGGGGGGAUACAAUGGUAGGGAAAACACUGUAUAUGAUAUUAUGUUAUAUAAUAUUAGAAAUACUAAGUAUGAUGCCAUGUUUAUAUUUUACUCCUACAUAAUGCUAUAUGAUAUUAGUCCUAUAUUAUCUUGUUAUUAUCUGUGAUAUUACAAAUACGAAGUAUGAUAAUAUGUUGUAUAUAUUGGCAUGACAUCACUGUAAUAUUGGCAUGGCAUCAUUGAAACUAUAGAGGGGGACAUGUGUGUCUACCUUUCCUAAUGCAUAACUUGAAAAAUCUAACCGAGAUCCCAAUUUCCAACGACGGACGAAUGAAACUAUCGGUCUACUGUCACAAUUUGUCACUGUUGAUUCGUCAACCCAGCCGUGGUAGUUCAUCCAAACACCGGCCAAAUGACCAGGUUCAGGGAUGUGCGCAGAUACAGAAACCCCCUCAUCUUCAUCUGCAGCCUUGCAUUAGCCAAAGAAGGAAAUGGAUGAGAUGAAAAAGAUUCCUCAUUCCUCAGAGGCCCUGCCGUGCUACUGUCCAGUCCAUGAAGUUGGAAAAAAAACACUUCCUAGAGCACAGGGUAUGAUACUCACCAAUGAAUGAGGAGCCGGUCCAUGCCAUGGGGGGGGGGGUAUUUAGCGCUGUGUUGGGUGCGGCGCCGGUGGCCGGGCGGAAAAUGGGGGGGGCAGUUUGCAUUGUUUUUUCUUUUUUUUUAAUGGGGGAAAAUGGUUAGCCCUCAUUAAAAAUGCCCCCCCUCAUUAUAUAGCCCCCCACAUAUUUAGCGCUGGUGGAAGGGGUGGGGGCAGGGGGGGUAUUUAGCUGUGAUGGGGGCCGUGGCGGUGGGGGCGCGGGGGUUCUUGAGCGCUGUGAAGCGCGGGUGGAAGGGGAGCGGGGGGUAGAUGGAUGAGGUGGGACGGAGUGGGAGGUGAAGGAAGGUGUUCUUACUUGUGUCCAGUCUCAGGCACGUUGAUGUUGACGUCCUGGAUGGUCUCCUUUUUCUUCUUUUCUCUCUCCUAUUUCUUUGUCUCCUUGUCCUGCAUCUUGCGCCUCAUUUUGUCCAUCUCCGUCUGCCGGUCCGUUUUUUUAAGUACAGGCAGAUGUUUUCAAGGACUGUUUUGUCGUCCUCUAAUUCUUGGAUCCUGGUGAUAAGGAUCUGAUGUUCUUUGGGAAUGGUAUCCUCCGUUUGUUGGAUCUUAGAGAUCAGGCACAACUCAGUGCUAGUGACCAUCUCGUGGUGGGUCUCCUCUUGGCUCUUUUUUAAAGCAGCCAGAGAAUCCCUCUGGGUCUUCAGCAGUUUGUUUUCUGCUUCCAACUGCUGCCAGGUCUCGUUGUUCACCCUGAGUUCAGCACUUUUGACAGAAAGUUGUUUUGUGGUCUCGGUGAGCUUCAGAGAUAAACCCUCGUUCUCCCUGAUAGUCUCAUCCAGAGCCUCUGUCUUGAUCUUUAGCAGUUUGUUUUCUUCUACCAACUGGUGGUUGUUGGCCUGCUGCUUGUGCAGCUCCUCUUGAAGAGAAAUAUUGGUGGAGAGUAACCCUGUUACUUACUGGACUGUUGUUGGUAAUACAGUUCCUUGAAUGUCUUUUCCUCCAACUUCUGCUGCCAGGUCCCUUUGUUGACUGUGAGUUCAGCACUUUUGACGAAGAGUUGUUUGCCGUACUCAAAGAGCUUCAGAAACAAACUUUUCCCCGAUAACCUCAGCCAGAGCCUCUGUCUUGCUCUUUAGCAGUUUGUGUUCUGCUUUCAACCGUUGGUUGUUGGCCUGCUGCUGGACCGUGGGUUCAGCAUUUUUGACAACGAGUUGUUCGGUGGUCUCUGUGGAGCUUCAGAGACAAACCCUUGUUCUCCCUGACGAGGUCUGAAAACUUAUUUCUGUUCUUGUCUGCUCAUAGGCAAGAUCUUUGCCUUUUAACAGGUUGGUCAAACUGUACCUCCCAGUUUCAGUGUGAGCACUGAGUUCGCUCACCUUCCUUUUCAGGUAGUGCACUUCAUCCCGGGCACGAGAAAGGGCCAUGUUCACCUUGUAUCCGUUGGGAGGAGUCCCGAGAAAAAGGGGAAAGGGGAAAAGGCUGGUGGGAUGCCUGUAAAUAGGCUGGAAGCCUUGAAAAAGGCUGUUUGUUUGUUUGCCGUUAACGACUCCAUGUGGUCUUUGAAGAAUGGUGAUAUAUCCAUCGAAAGGCUACUUAAUUAAGUCUUGUUAAGGACAAACGUCGCUGAUUAAUUCUCUCACACAAAAAUAUGCAGUGCUCUGUCCUGUGUUUAGAAUAGCAAUGAACAGAUGCAUCUAAUUCUUUCUGGAACUUGGCCUUGAAGAUUCCAUUCCAUUUCAUUCCAUUCCGUUCCGUUCCGUUCCAUUCCAUUCCGUUGUCAUAGAGUGGAGAGUGUCAUAGAGUGGACUCCAAGACAACGGAAUAGAAAAUAC
ensembl:lncRNA